rnacentral:rRNA from 1 species
AACGAACGCUGGCGGCAGGCCUAACACAUGCAAGUCGAGCGGACCUUUCGGGGUCAGCGGCGGACGGGUGAGUAACGCGUGGGAAUAUGCCCUUCUCUACGGAAUAGUCCUGGGAAACUGGGGGUAAUACCGUAUACGCCCUUUGGGGGAAAGAUUUAUCGGGGAAGGAUUAGCCCGCGUUGGAUUCGGUAGUUGGUGGGGUAAUGGCCUACCAAGCCGACGAUCCAUAGCUGGUUUGAGAGGAUGAUCAGCCACACUGGGACUGAGACACGGCCCAGACUCCUACGGGAGGGAGCAGUGGGGAAUCUUAGACAAUGGGGGCAACCCUGAUCUAGCCAUGCCGCGGGAGUGAUGAAGGCCUUAGGGUUGUAAAGCUCUUUCAGCUGGGAAGAUAAUGACGGUACCAGCAGAAGAAGCCCCGGCUAACUACGUG